rnacentral:rRNA from 1 species
AGAAAGGGCCUGAUGU